rnacentral:rRNA from 1 species
AGCAGGGAAGAAGCGAAAGUGACGGUACCUGCAGAAGAAGCACCGGCUAACUACGUGCCAGCAGCCGCGGUAAUACGUAGGGUGCAAGCGUUGUCCGGAAUUAUUGGGCGUAAAGAGCUCGUAGGCGGUCUGUCGCGUCUGCUGUGAAAUCCCAGGGCUUAACCCUGGGCCUGCAGUGGGUACGGGCAGACUAGAGUGCGGUAGGGGAGAUCGGAAUUCCUGGUGUAGCGGUGAAAUGCGCAGAUAUCAGGAGGAACACCGGUGGCGAAGGCGGAUCUCUGGGCCGUAACUGACGCUGAGGAGCGAAAGCAUGGGUAGCGAACAGGAUUAGAUACCCUGGUAGUCCACGCCGUAAACGUUGGGCGCUAGGUGUGGGGCUCAUUCCACGAGUUCCGUGCCGCAGCUAACGCAUUAAGCGCCCCGCCUGGGGAGUACGGCCGCAAGGCUAAAACUCAAAGGAAUUGACGGGGGCCCGCACAAGCGGCGGAGCAUGCGGAUUAAUUCGAUGCAACGCGAAGAACCUUACCAAGGCUUGACAUACAGGGUAAUCCGGCAGAAAUGUCGGGUCCGCAAGGGAUCCUGUACAGGUGGUGCAUGGUUGUCGUCAGCUCGUGUCGUGA